rnacentral:tRNA from 1 species
CUCUAAAUGACUGAUUUAAAGUGUUAACCUUUUAAGUUAAAUUAUGGGUAAAUUACCCUUUAGAGA